CUACGGGCGGCUCCAGUCGAGAAUAUUCCACAAUGGACGAAAGUCUGAUGGAGCGACGCCGCGUGCGGGAUGAAGGCCUUCGGGUUGUAAACCGCUUUUCUCGCAGAAAAACUUCGGUGAUUGUAUGCGAGGAAUAAGAGGUUACUAACUCUGUGCCAGCAGUAGCGGUAAUACAGAGACCUCAAGCGUUAUCCGGAUUUAUUGGGCGUAAAGGGCAGGUAGGCGGAUAUGUUAGUCGGAUGUCAAAGCUCCCGACUCAAUUGGGAAAAGGCAUUCGAAACGGCAUAUCUAGAGAGUGUGAGAGAUAAGUGGAAUUUAUGGUGUAGUAGUGAAAUGCGUUGAUAUCAUAAAGAACACCCAAGGCGAAGGCAACUGAUUGGCACACUUCUGACGCUCAACUGCGAAAGCGUGGGUAGCGAAUAGGAUUAGAUACCCUCGUAGUC
rnacentral:rRNA from 1 species